ensembl:rRNA 5S_rRNA 5S ribosomal RNA
GUGGGCGGCCAUACCACCUUGAUCAUGGAAGCUAAGCAGGGUUGGGUCUGGUCGGUACUUAAAUGAGAGACCACCUGGGAAUGCGGGUGGUGUAGGCU